GUGCUCACUUCGGCUGCACAUAUUCUAAAAAAUUGGAACGAUACAGAGAAGAUUAGCAUGGUCCCUGCGCAAGGAUGUCACGCAAAUUCAUGAAAAAAAAUGUGCAGUA